AUACCUCUCAGGGACUCGGAACGAGGGCUGGGGGGCAGCAAUCUCCCCCCAACUUAACCUCUAGUACCCCUCGGAUUUCUAAUUGCAUUAUAUCUUGUUUAUUUAUUGAUCUAUUCAUUUAUUUGCUCAACAACGUUUAUCGAGUGCCUACUUUGGGUCAGCCCCUUGCUUGAAGUGGUGAACAGCAGACAUGUUUCUGCCAUGAUGGAGCUCACAGUCCAGCAGGGAAAACAGGUGCUAAGUACGUAAUGAUGCUGAACUGUGAUGCUGCAUUAUGCAUUGUGCACACACGGAUACUCAUCUUUUAAAUUCAGUUUAGACAUCGUCUCCUCCAGGCAGUCUCUCCAGAUUCUCCUGGUUGCGUUAGGCACCGUCCUAUGUGCCCUGCUGGCAUCCUAUAAAUGUCUCUGUCCUACCACUUCACACACUGUGCUGCCACUGUAGAUGAGGCUGUCUUCCACCUUCCCUACAGUGAAUGGUGGGCUUCAGAGGCGCCAGGAUCGUCUCAUUUCCUUCUUAAUCCCUAGCUCAGUUCCUGGUACAUAAUAGAGUCCAAUAAAUGCGAAGUAAAAGGCUGACUGAAGAAACAUUUUCUUUAUUGGGUCUUUCCAAGGAGGGUCCCAAUAAAUGUCACUUCUGAACGAUUUAAGAAAUAAUUCAGGAGUAAAGACACAGACCGAAUACGACCUUUAGGAGUGCUGGAGGCUCUGUUGGAGGAUGUAGCUUAGCUGAGGACCAAAUGGGGCUGCCAGGGAGCCACAGCAGUAGGCAGAUGCCCACCCAGGUGAGGGGCCCUAGGGGCCGGGAGGGGGUGGCUGAAGCGCAGCGGAGCGUGCUCCCCGGUGGGGGGUGGGGAGUGGGGGGCGGGGAGUUGUUCCUCGCUUGUCCAGUCAACCUCCCAGAUCGACCCCGAGAGAAAGGGCCCCGCCCCCAGGGGCAGAAGGUGCUGAUGGGGGAGAGAGGUCCGGAACAUAGAGGCCGCGCUAAUUUGCCCUUUACGGGAAGGAAACACCAGACAGAUGUCAGCAAGAAAUGUUCCCUGUGACCAGCUCCACCCUUUCUCCUAUGUUUGUUCACUCUUUACAAAAGCCGAUGGAGGUGUCCCCUCAUCUACAGAGGAGGAAGACGAGGAGUGGAUACAAUGUUAAGUUUGAAGUAUGGCAGGCCUGCAUACCUUCUGGAAAUGUCCAUCACAUUUUCUUCAGCAGCCUUUAAUGGAACCAAAUUCUCCUGAGAGAAUGACACUUCCCAUUCACUGACUCCAGUAAGGAGCAUCAUUCCCAGGUACUUGACUUUGAGGAGGCUGGAGAUGAAUGAGAUGCUCAGAAGCCUAAAAGACGCAGGAGUGGUCUUUGUUCAGAGGUUGCCCACUGCCCAGUUCUCAGAGCAGACUGAAUCUCAGAGAAGGAACAUUUCCCUUACAGCUCUUGGAUGGAUGUGUUUUGAAAACAGACUUACUUCUCCAAGGAUUUGACCUGACAACUUGUUCGCCUGUGAGGGUUGGAUCUGUGUGGAAGCCUAGCCCUAAUACUGAAAAGUUUUACUUUUCUGAAGAAAGGGACUGAAAGGCAGCUACAUGUUUGGCACAGUAAUGCUAAGGCUCUGGCACAAAAUCAGUCUGUCAGAAGCUCCUUUCCUCUGGAUAGACGGACCAGUGACACUGGAUGGACUAAAGUCUUGUCUCAAAUGAAUGUAGAGCCCACUUCGGGAUUUCCAGCCCCUCUGCCUCUGGCUCCAAAGAACUGGCUUUACCAUUGACGUUGUUAACAGCAAGGUCAGUGACGGGGGAUCAAAGCCCAGGGGAGAAACUGGGGCUGGUCAAGGGGGAGCCACCUGCCACAGAGCUUGGUUUUAACAUCUGUUGUCUAGGGUCACACUUCUCCAAAAGAUACACUACUGUGGUCAAGAUCAAGGUCACAUGGAAAAGAGGUAUUCAUAAGAAAUUCAUAAUAUGUAUGUGUACAUAUAUAUGUGUGUAUAUAUAUAUAUAUGUAAAUCUGUAACAUAGCUAUUUAUAAAACAUCAAUAAACAGUGGUUGUGGCAUGUAAGAUGCUAAAGGUCCUCUUGUGCCUCAUUCUUGCUUGAUCUCAUGAUUGAUCCAUUCACCCCCAAAUUCACCCCACCCAUGAAUCCUCCUUUGUAAUUAACUAAUCUAUGAAACCUUUUAUUUUUUCUUUCAGUGCUGCUACUUUCUUUGGUACUACUUUCUUGGUUUAGAUAAAUCAUUCAGAAUAGAGCUCUGGAGUCAGACUUUCUCAGUUUAAAUUCCAAAUCCACCACAUGCUGCUGUGUGACCUAGGAAAAUUGACCUAAUUUCUCCCUGUCUCAGCUUCUACUCUGUAAAGUGGAGACUAAAAUAUAACCAUGUGGAAUUCCUGUGGGAAUUAAAGGAGGUAAUCCAUAUAGCAUUUAAAACUGUGCUUGGCAUAUUAUAACUCCUCAAUGGUAUUCAUUAUCCUUCUUAUAAUUAUCGUUAUUAAUAUUCACUUGUAGCAUUCUUUUACUCUUUAGAGACAUCGCUUUCAUGGAUUUUAUGUAGUUAGUCAAAUUUAUGGUUUAAAUGACAGCUGCAUUAAAAUUAUCUCCCCCCUUCUCCAUUCUAGGACUUUAAAGACAGCAAGUGAGCAUGGGUUGAUCUCAAGAUGAACUGGAACUGAAGAAAUCGAAAUUAGAAACCAAAUGUCCAUAUUUCAGAGAAAAGAACUUUACCAUUGAUCAGUUGCCCUGGGCAGUAAGAAACAGAUCGGGCACAAACUGGCUUAAGCUGGAAGCAAACGAAUUAGUUCACGUAGAAGGUGUCAACAGCAGGGUGGGCUUCAGGGUGGGUGGAUUCAGAGGCUUGAGGGCAUCAUUCUGUUCCUCGGUUCCAUUCUGUCUCUCCUCGCUGUCCUCCAUAGCACCGGCCUCAUGCUAAGUCUGGUUCCCUUGUGUUCGAAUGGUGGCUGCCAAUGGCAGUCGGGACACGUGUUUUCUUUCCCACCCAGGGAGGGAGAAGAAGAGGCUAGAUACCCAUGACACAUUCUUCCCUGGCGUCCCCAGGAGCCUCUGCUCAUGACUCAGGGGCCUCCCGGAGAGGAGAUGGUGGUCCCAGGCUUGCGCAGACCCAUCUGCUGGCGCGGAGUGGAUGUAGCCUCUAGGAUCACACGAAGAGGUUUCAGCUGUGCUGGGGCUUCCCCACUUUCAUGUUCCUUGAGUGUAAACUAAUGGGGCUGUUCUGUUUGUCUAUUGCUAUACAACAAAUGACCCCAAACUUAGUGGCUUGAAGAUACAGUCAUUUUAUUGUAUCUCCCAAUUUACGGGUCAUGAAUUCAGGCAGGACCCAGCUGAGAGAUGCUUCAGCAUCACAUGGCUUGGGCUGGGGUCACUCAGCGGUAUUUGGCUGGCAGCCAGGCUGGUCCGAGGGUCCUAGGAUGUCAUCACUCACAUGAUUGGCACCCUAGCGAUACUGGGGGCUGGGCUCAGGUGGGCGCCUCUCCCUCAUUGUGUGGGCCCUCUCCUUGUGGUCUCUCCAGCGGAGGAGCUGAACUUCUCACGUGGUGGCUCAGUUUGCUACACAGCUGCAAGUGACAGAGAAAUUGUGAAAUACAAGAUGAUUCCCAAUGAUUUGACAUGUCAUCUCCACUGUCCAUAAUAAACAAAAAGAAACGGGCAUUCAAUUUUAAUAAUAGAUGCUUUGUUUUUCUCCAUGCCCCCUAAAUAGAUGUGUCCAUUUUUAAAAUAUCUGUUUGAAGAGAUGCCGCUUUGCCAUACUGUCCAGGGUGCCGGCGUCGCUGGCUCACCCUGUAUGGUAUGACUGUGGGGUUAUCUUUCCUUCCCAUCACCCCUGCUUGGUCUAGGGCAUCAUCACGUCUCCCAUGCUAUCCCAGUAGCCUCCAUCUGACCCUCUGGCACCAGUCUCACCCUCUUCCACUCAUCCUCUACAUGUUUUCCAGUGUGAUUUUUCUGAAACAAAUCUGCUCAGACCAUUCUCUUGUCUAAAGUCACUAUGGGGUUCUCUUUUACCAACCAGAUAAAAUUCACUCUUGAGUAUGGCUUACAAGUUCUUUUAUAAGUUGUUCUUGUCCUGGAUCAAAUACCCUGAUUAUUACUGGAAUAUAAGUUCCAAGGAGGCAGGAAUCCUGUCUCUCUGGUUCAUUGCUUUAUCACCCUCACUGAGACCAGACCUGACACACAGAAGGUGCUUAAGAAGUAUUUGUGGGAGGAAGAGAAGGUCAGAGGAGGGAAGGAAGAAAUGAAGGAUGUUAGUUCCUACAGCGCCCUGUGCUUCUUCUAUUCAUAAUGUUCAUUUCUAGUUUAAGGCCUGGCUUCCUCAGUAGACUGUAAGUUCCAAGGGGGCGAUGAGCACACCCAGUUCCCUAUUCCUAGCACAGUGCCUGCCACAAAGUAGGUGCUAGAACAAUUUCUGAAAUAAAUGAAUUAAUAAUACGAUAAGGGCUCAUGGCACAGACACAGAGCAGGGAAAGCCUGAAGGACAGGCCAGUUGCCUCGCUGGAGUUUAGAAAUGGGAAUGGGAAGAGGGCAGGACAUGAACGAGUCCUUGGAAGGCAAUGCCAGUGGCUUCUGAUUCGGGGCCCUGGCUCAUGGGAGUCUGGGUAAUUGGUCACCUUUAAGCCUGUGGCUCUAGGGGGUUGAGUCCUGUGCUCAGUCCUCAUAUCCCUUUCGUGCAUCCAAUUUUCUCUUUUGGCACAGGUAUCCAACCCUGCUAGUUUUUUUCCAUGAGAGCGAAUCUUCUGAAGUGAAGUAUGGACUGCCUUGUCUCAACCUCCUGGAAUAUGACCUCAUUCCUUCCCCCGCUGGGUCCACUCAUUAAGCAGCCUGCCCAUCCUGCUCCAUCAGGCAGCCUGCCAGGCAUGCACUUGGCAUAGGAGUCCCAGUUCAGGGCCAAGGCAGCCUUUACUGUUUAAGAGCGUGGACUUUGGAGUUAAGCAGACCAGGGUUUGGAGCCUGAAUCCAUCACUCACUAGCGGUGUGGUCUUGGGCAAGUUUCUUAUCUCUCUGAGCCUUGACUUCAUUAUCUGUAAAGUGGAACCAACAAAAGUGCCUAAUUCAUAAUGUAUUUGUGAGGAUCAAAUUAAAUAAUCCAUGAGCCUACCCCAGAGAGAGCUUCAUAAAUGUUGAGCAUUACUUUUCUACUCAAGAACUUCUCUUGCCCUUUGGCAGGUCAUGAAUUUCCCUGGGAUGGAGCAGUGGUGGAGGGAGAAAGGGGGGAGGGGAAUUGGCACGUAUUGAGCACCUAUGAUGUACCAGGUGCCGCACUGACAUAUCUGCGAGACUUGUCUCCCCCAAACCACAUGACAACCGCGUGUUGUCGAGUGAACAUCAGCCCCAUUUUCCAGUGGAAGGGAUGCAGAUUGUAGAGUCGACAAACCUGGGUUGGAAUCCAGGUUCUGAAACUCACUUGCCAUGUAAGUCAGGGCAAUGCCCUUCCCCUCUUGGGGCCUCGGUUCCCCAGCAGUUGUGGCAAUUCCUGUCUGGUAGGCUUGCUGUGCAGGUUUUACAAGCGAACACUGUGUAAAAACACUCAGCCAGAUGAUGCUUAGUUCAUGUGCUUUAUUCCCACGAGAGCCCCUGGUUGAGAGCUGGGCUUGAAUGGAGAGGGGGAAAACAUGGAGAUAUGCCAGGAAGGGGACCCCAGGGCAUGAGGAUUCUGGAGGGGACACACUUCUCUUACUCCCUGAGAAGUGGGCUGCUAUUAACACCAUGAGUGGACUUCCCCGUUGGACUGGCAAAAAGAUUCAGAUGCCAGCUGGCUCCAUCCCCUACCUUUCUGGGCCCAGGACCUGAGAA